ACUUCCACCUACCAAUGAAACAGUUCUAGCCAAUCAGAUGCAAAGUGGUGGGUCUUUGCCAAAAAGCGAGAGUGCGUUUCACUGUGGCAGUGUGUGACAGA